rnacentral:misc_RNA from 1 species
CUCGACAUUUGGUAUUUCUUGUGCUUCGGUAGCAAAACUGAUACAAGGUUCUUUCAUGGAGAACAAUGCCCAACUUUUACUCUUGAAGUUGAUGCCAUGGAAGCAAGCUAAACUGAUAUUGCAGCCAUGUAAUUCCAUUGUUCCACCUAGAACGGUACCAUUCAAUGGUAACGAGAACCGCAGGGUUCCUAACUGCAGACCAGCUACUUGAGAUAAUACACGUUGCCAAUGCCGAUGAUGUCGCGCAUCGGAAACUGCUAUUUGGUUCAACGUGUACCUUCCAUAGUAGAUUUCUUUUUUGGUUGUUUCCGCUUAAAACUGCUAUUAUUCAUUCUUUGAUGUCUUGGCUGCAGUGAGCUAAAAACUCUUUUACUGCUCUUAAAUUGUUGGCUAAAAAAUUCGUCCAACUUGUAGAACAUUUUUAAUAAAUCUGCAGUCGUGGAUUUACUUAUCAUUAUUUGGAGCUGAUCCCAGCCAAGGUCUCCGUGCAUAAAAAUUAUGGCUGGUCU